AGUGAACGCUGGCGGUAGGCCUAACACAUGCAAGUCGAACGGCAGCACAGUAAGAGCUUGCUCUUACGGGUGGCGAGUGGCGGACGGGUGAGGAAUACAUAGGAAUCUACUUUUUCGUGGGGGACAACGUAGGGAAACUUAUGCUAAUACCGCAUACGACCUACGGGUGAAAGCAGGGGAUCUUCGGACCUUGCGCGAUUGAAUGAGCUGAUGUCGGAUUAGCUAGUUGGCGGGGUAAAGGCCCACCAAGGCGACGAUCCGUAGCUGGUCUGAGAGGAUGAUCGGCCACACUGGAACUGAGACACGGUCCAGACUCCUACGGGAGGCAGCAGUGGGGAAUAUUGGACAAUGGGCGCAAGCCUGAUCCAGCCAUGCCGCGUGAGUGAUGAAGGUCUUCGGAUUGUAAAGCCCUUUUGUUAGGAAAGAAAAGCAGCAGGUUAAUACCCCGCUGUUCUGACGGUACCCAAAGAAUAAGCACCGGCUAACUUCGUG
rnacentral:rRNA from 1 species